rnacentral:rRNA from 1 species
AUUGAACGCUGGCGGCAUGCCUUACACAUGCAAGUCGAACGGCAGCACGGGAGCAAUCCUGGUGGCGAGUGGCGAACGGGUGAGUAAUAUAUCGGAACGUGCCCAGUCGUGGGGGAUAACGUAGCGAAAGCUACGCUAAUACCGCAUACGAUCUAUGGAUGAAAGCGGGGGAUCGCAAGACCUCGCGCGAUUGGAGCGGCCGAUAUCAGAUUAGGUAGUUGGUGAGGUAAAGGCUCACCAAGCCGACGAUCUGUAGCUGGUCUGAGAGGACGACCAGCCACACUGGGACUGAGACACGGCCCAGACUCCUACGGGAGGCAGCAGUGGGGAAUUUUGGACAAUGGCGAAAGCCUGAUCCAGCAAUGCCGCGUGAGUGAUGAAGGCCUUCGGGUU